UACAGAGGUUGCAAGCGUUGUUCGGAAUUACUGGGCGUAAAGGGCGCGUAGGCGGCCUCGCAAGUCCCGUGUGAAAUCCCUCGGCUCAACUGAGGAAUGGCACGGGAAACUGCGGGGCUUGAGUUCGGGAGAGGGAAGCGAAAUUCCGGGUGUAGCGGUGAAAUGCGUAGAUAUCCGGAGGAACACCGGUGGCGAAGGCGGCUUCCUGGACCGAUACUGACACUGAGGCGCGACAGCGUGGGGAGCAAACAGG
rnacentral:rRNA from 1 species